GCCCCGGUGGCACAAUCGGUUAGCGCGCCGUACUUAUAAUGCGGAGGUUGUGAGUUCGAGCCUCACCUGGGGCA
rnacentral:tRNA from 1 species